rnacentral:lncRNA from 1 species
UAAAAAAUUAGUUUUGUUGAAACCCUAUAACCCGCCCGCGACCCUAAACCCUACCCGCACGCGACCCAAUACCCGAUCCGCCCCUUAAGGUUAAAAUCGUCCGAAAUAAAAAAAAAAGGACAAAAUUUAAGUAUUUUCAAUUAGUGGCCAAAAUUUGUGUUUUAUGCUUCAUUUUGGCUACCUAAAAAUUUUUCUCUUAACAAAAUCGCCUGCAAAGCAUAAAGCACACUCAUAAACGCACCAAAAUCUAGAAUAAUUAACUCAGAUUUAGCACAAUCAAACCCCC